UACGUAGGGUGCGAGCGUUGUCCGGAAUUAUUGGGCGUAAAGGGCGCGUAGGCGGCUUUUCAAGUGACGGGUGAAAGCCCUCGGCUUAACCGAGGAACUGCCUGUCAGACUGGAAGGCUUGAGACCGGGAGAGGUGAGUGGAAUUCCCAGUGUAGCGGUGAAAUGCGUAGAUAUUGGGAGGAACACCAGUGGCGAAGGCGGCUCACUGGACCGGAACUGACGCUGAGGCGCGAAAGCGUGGGGAGCAAACAGG
rnacentral:rRNA from 1 species